rnacentral:tRNA from 1 species
AGGGGUUUAGUUUAAAGGUAAAACUGUUAUAUAUAUAUAUAUAUACAAUGUAGGUUCAAAUCCAACAGCUCCUU